AUUAAAUAUUGAUAUACGUAUAUCAUUUGGAAUGAAAAUGUUGAACUGGUCCUUAUCAGAACUGGUUAAAUGAUUUUAGCAAUGCAAAUUAUGUUCAUUAAUAAGCAUCGGUAUUUUCGUCCACUAUUGCAGACUUAGUUAACCUUACAUCCUUCUCCUACAUUGUGUCAAUAAUAAUUACAACAAUGAAAAUUCGUGAAAGAUUUCCGACAAAAAUAAUCAUUGACAACAAAAAGCUCUGUACAGCUGGAAAAAAACAUACAACUAGUCAUACAAUCAAAGAGCUAUAAUUCUCGAUUUUUGGAACGGAGCAUGCACAAAAAAUAGAAACAGUUGAAGAGCUAUCAGACCAAAUAGAACCUAAUAAAUAGCCAAAACAUGCAGACGAAGAUCAACUUUGUUUAAUGGAGUUGAAACCUUAUAAAAAAGAAUGUUUGGUAUGAAUUGCAAUGAGAC
rnacentral:lncRNA from 1 species